UACGUAGGGGGCAAGCGUUUGUCCGGAUUUAUUGGGCGUAAAGAGCGUGUAGGCGGUCUGGUAGGUCCGUUGUGAAAACUCGAGGCUCAACCUCGAGACGCCGAUGGAAACCAUCAGACUAGAGUCCGGAAGAGGAGAGUGGAAUUCCUGGUGUAGCGGUGGAAUGCGCAGAUAUCAGGAGGAACACCAAUAGCGAAGGCAGCUCGCUGGGACGUUACUGACACUGAGGCGCGAAAGCGUGGGGAGCGAACAGGG
rnacentral:rRNA from 1 species